CCAAAUAUGCGUCUAAAGACGUUUGGAAGCAUGCUCCAAUCCUUACGAGUGGUUAUGUUCAAACCAUUGUACCAUUGUAGUACUAUCUCUUAGAAAUGUGUGGGAAAUUCAUGCAAAUGUCGGGCAUCAUCCCAAGAAUGAUACAUAACAAUCACUGUGAAGUGAUUGAACCAAUAGUACAUAUCAUCUUUAGGAUUUCUACGGAAGAACUCCAACUAAACUCGAAGAUUGGCAGCAAAAGCAAAAAGAGUUGUACCACACACCAUAAAUGAUGCUAUCAACUGAGUCUAAUUGUUCAAUUAUAACCAUAUAACAUUGAGCAAUUGCACCAAUUACUGCUCCAAAGUCAAAGGAAAAGGAGGCUGCUGGUCUGCUAUGAAAAUGAAUGAAAAGAAAAAAA
rnacentral:lncRNA from 1 species